rnacentral:rRNA from 1 species
UACGGGGGGGGCAAGCGUUGUUCGGAAUUACUGGGCGUAAAGGGCUCGUAGGUGGCCAACUAAGUCAUACGUGAAAUCCCUCGGCUUAACCGGGGAACUGCGUCUGAUACUGGAUGGCUUGAGGUUGGGAGAGGGAUGCGGAAUUCCAGGUGUAGCGGUGAAAUGCGUAGAUAUCUGGAGGAACACCGGUGGCGAAGGCGGCAUCCUGGACCAAUUCUGGCACUGAGGAGCGAAAGCCAGGGGAGCAAACGGG